rnacentral:rRNA from 1 species
CAGCCGCCGCGGGAAUACGUAGGGUGCAAGCGUUAAUCGGAAUUACUGGGCGUAAAGCGUGCGCAGGCGGUUAUAUAAGACAGAUGUGAAAUCCCCGGGCUCAACCUGGGAACUGCAUUUGUGACUGUAUAGCUAGAGUACGGCAGAGGGGGAUGGAAUUCCGCGUGUAGCAGUGAAAUGCGUAGAUAUGCGGAGGAACACCGAUGGCGAAGGCAAUCCCCUGGGCCUGUACUGACGCUUAUGCACGAAAGCGUGGGGAGCAAACAGGAUUAGAGACCCGUGUAGUCCCUGUCUCUUAUAC